rnacentral:rRNA from 1 species
UGAGGAAUCUUGCGCAAUGGGCGAAAGCCUGACGCAGCCACGCCGCGUGCCGGAAGAAGGUCCUAUGGAUUGUAAACGGCUUUUGUCAGGGAAGAAUCCCCGGGUUUCGAUCUGGGUUGACGGUACCUGAUGAAUAAGCACCGGCUAACUCCGUGCCAGCAGCCGCGGUAAUACGGAGGGUGCAAGCGUUGUCCGGAAUCAUUGGGUGUAAAGGGUGCGUAGGCGGGCCACUAAGUCUGGGGUGAAAUCCUGCCGCUUAACGGUAGAAUGGCCUUGGAUACUGGUGGUCUUGAGUACAGAAGAGGUCGGUGGAAUUCGUAGUGUAGCGGUGAAAUGCAUAGAUAUUACGAAGAACACCAGUGGCGAAGGCGGCCGGCUGGUCUGUAACUGACGCUGAGGCACGAAAGCGUGGGGAGCGAACAGGAUUAGAUACCCGUGUAGUCC